rnacentral:sRNA from 1 species
GAAAGGUGUAAAAACGAAUGCAGUUGUG